rnacentral:rRNA from 1 species
UACGAAGGGUGCAAGCGUUAAUCGGAAUUACUGGGCGUAAAGGGUGCGUAGGCGGUGGUUUAAGUCUGUCGUGAAAUCCCCGGGCUCAACCUGGGAAUGGCGAUGGAUACUGGACAGCUAGAGUGUGUCAGAGGAUGGUGGAAUUCCCGGUGUAGCGGUGAAAUGCGUAGAGAUCGGGAGGAACAUCAGUGGCGAAGGCGGCCAUCUGGGACAACACUGACGCUGAAGCACGAAAGCGUGGGGAGCAAACAGG